rnacentral:tRNA from 2 species
GCGAUGGUGGUGUAAUGGUCAGCAUUGGUGCCUUCCAAGCACUAGAUCGGGGUUCGAUUCCCCGCCAUCGCA